AGACACUGGACUAUGCUUGUGGAGCCGGGGCGGAUUGCACCCCGCUUCAUACAAACGGGCCUUGCUUUAACCCGAAUACCGUAAGAGCUCACUGCAAUUUUGCUGUCAACAGCUAUUUCCAGAGGAAGGGCCAAGCUACCGGAUCAUGUGAUUUUUCUGGCACCGCCACUGUCACUGCUACUGACCCCAGCACAGCUGGCUGUGUUUAUCCUGCUACUGCAAGUGGCACCACUCCGACGACUACGGGCUCCACCACACAAACACCAUCCACAACCACAACCAACACAGGGGGAUCUCCUUAUGUGACAAAUCCAGGUGUAUUAGGAGGCGUCAACAACGGCUUAGGCCCGUCGGGCGCUGGCAUGAACACAGAUAUAAGCCAUGGUGGGAUUUUACUGCAACAAGGCAACCUGUUUUUCUCUAUGACCAUUACUAUUAUUAUUUCUUCACUUGCAUUAUUUUGAGCUAAAUAAGAGAAGAAGUUCCAGUGUUUGUGUACUAUUAAGGUU
rnacentral:misc_RNA from 1 species